CCUACGGGUGGCAGCAGUGAGGAAUAUUGGUCAAUGGACGAGAGUCUGAACCAGCCAAGUAGCGUGAAGGAUGACUGCCCUAUGGGUUGUAAACUUCUUUUAUAUGGGAAUAAAAUGUUCCACGUGUGGGAUUUUGUAUGUACCAUAUGAAUAAGGAUCGGCUAACUCCGUGCCAGCAGCCGCGGUAAUACGGAGGAUCCGAGCGUUAUCCGGAUUUAUUGGGUUUAAAGGGAGCGUAGGUGGAUUGUUAAGUCAGUUGUGAAAGUUUGCGGCUCAACCGUAAAAUUGCAGUUGAAACUGGCAGUCUUGAGUACGUUAGAGGUGGGCGGAAUUCGUGGUGUAGCGGUGAAAUGCUUAGAUAUCACGAAGAACUCCGAUUGCGAAGGCAGUUCACUGGACUGCAACUGACACUGAUGCUCGAAAGUGUGGGUAUCAAACAGGAUUAGAUACCCCAGUAGUC
rnacentral:rRNA from 1 species